rnacentral:lncRNA from 1 species
CAUUGCACAAAGUAUUAUAACACAAUUGAUUGAAUACAUUUUUUUAAAUUUUUUAACAAACUGUAUUAUUACACUUAAUACAUCAGGCCGUGUUCUAUGCACACUAAACAAUUUCUUCAAAUUAUGGACAGCAAAUCACAUGCAUGUUUAAUCAAAGUUUAUGCAAGUCUCGAUAUAGCAGUGGGCCCUAAAGCAGUAUAUUUGUGAGUUGUGAUUUCUAAUUUGAUUUUCUUUACAAUGAGUUUUGUAAAUAUUAAAUAAGUUUAAAGUUGGAAGGACUUCCAGUUGAACUCUGAGUUUACUGUUACCCAACAUGUGCACUCUUAUUUUUAUUUUAUUUUGAAUACUUUAAAAAUUUUAUUGUACAAAGAAAUGUUAAGACGCACUCUAAUCUUUUAGAGUAAAACUCAAAAUUUAGCUAUCUAAACCAAUCCUAGCUCACUCCAAUUCUUGGGUCAAAAUUGAGUUUUGGACAAAUUCUGGCCAGGAUUUGAGUUUGGGUUAGACCUAGUUUGGGAGUGAGGUGCUUAAAAAAAAAGCACAUAUGAAAAAAAGCUGUGAGGGUUUUAGGUGUUUGGUAAACUGAAAAAAAAGGGCUUAUUUUGGAAGCUG